CAUGUUUUUCCAUAGGAGAAGAGAGGAGGACAGACUUGAAUAGUCAACUGAAGGGGGGGGAAAGAAAAACCCAGUGUAUUUGACAGCUAUAGUUUAAUCCAAUGAAAACAGGUGGCCUCUUCAUUCAGACAAACCCUCCAUUGGGACAACCGAGGUUAGAGCGGGAGUUUGAAACAAGAUGAGGGUUGUACUGGUCGUGGCUCUCGUCCUGCUGUAUGUCUGGCUUCAGAAUGCCCAUAGGUCUGACAUCAACCAACAAGGAAGUGUUUGUGAUCAGGUUCUUCCUCUGUCCAUUUCCAGGCUCCUCUUCUCCCCUCUCUCUGUCUACUCCUGGCUGGUCUCUGUGAUGGUUAAACUCGUCUUCUCC